CCCUGGCAGUUCAGCUGGUAAAUAAUCUGCCUGUAAUGCAGGAAACCCGGGUUCAAUUCCUGGGUCAGGAA
rnacentral:tRNA from 1 species